rnacentral:tRNA from 1 species
UGGCUCAGUGGUUAAGAGCACUAACUGUUCUUCUAGAGGACCUGGGUUCAAUUCCCAG